AUUGAACGCUGGCGGCAGGCCUAACACAUGCAAGUCGAGCGGAUGAAGGGAGCUUGCUCCUGGAUUCAGCGGCGGACGGGUGAGUAAUGCCUAGGAAUCUGCCUGGUAGUGGGGGAUAACGUCCGGAAACGGGCGCUAAUACCGCAUACGUCCUGAGGGAGAAAGUGGGGGAUCUUCGGACCUCACGCUAUCAGAUGAGCCUAGGUCGGAUUAGCUAGUUGGUGGGGUAAAGGCCUACCAAGGCGACGAUCCGUAACUGGUCUGAGAGGAUGAUCAGUCACACUGGAACAGAGACACGGCCCAGACUCCUGCGGGAGGCAGCAGUGGAGAAUAUUGGACAAUGGGCGAGAGCCUGAUCCAGCCAUGCCGCGUGUGUGGAGAAGGUCUUCGGAUUGUAAAGCACUUUAAGUUGGGAGGAAGGGCAGUAAGUUAAUACCUUGCUGUUUUGACGUUACCAACAGAAUAAGCACCGGCUAACUUCGUG
rnacentral:rRNA from 1 species